GACGAACGCUGGCGGCGUGCUUAACACAUGCAAGUCGAACGGAAAGGCCCUGCUUUUGUGGGGUGCUCGAGUGGCGAACGGGUGAGUAACACGUGAGUAACCUGCCCUUGACUUUGGGAUAACUUCAGGAAACUGGGGCUAAUACCGGAUAGGAGCUCCUGCUGCAGGGUGGGGGUUGGAAAGUUUCGGCGGUUGGGGAUGGACUCGCGGCUUAUCAGCUUGUUGGUGGGGUAGUGGCUUACCAAGGCUUUGACGGGUCGCCGGCCUGAGAGGGUGACCGGCCACAUUGGGACUGAGAUACGGCCCAGACUCCUACGGGAGGCAGCAGUGGGGAAUAUUGCACAAUGGGCGGAAGCCUGAUGCAGCAACGCCGCGUGCGGGAUGACGGCCUUCGGGUUGUAAACCGCUUUCGCCUGUGACGAAGCGUGAGUGACGGUAAUGGGUAAAGAAGCACCGGCUAACUACGUG
rnacentral:rRNA from 1 species